AUACUUUUUUUACAGCUGCUUUAGUGAUCUUGAAGGAGGUGGCCAAUCACGCCAAUGAAGUCGUAAAACAAGAGGUGGUAAAGAGUCAAAUUCUUUGUUUCUAAAUCAACUGUCAAUGUCCUUUGCUUCUUCUUGCUAAAUCUUGAGAAAUGUGAAAAUUUGUUUCAGACAUGAUAAUUCCCAAAAGCCUUAUGAUGUUCAGUGUCGCCUCACAAGCCAUCAUGUGAUUGUCCAACCAGGAAGGGUGAGUAAUUUAUUCAUUUAAUAAUAAAAGCAGUUCAUUGAGCAGUAAUAAUGCCAGGAGCAACUUUCUACAAGCAUCAGACAUUCUUCAAGCAUCUGUGGCCUUAAAUAAAGAAUUCAAUAAUUUGCAACAGUGAGUCCUUUAGAAAUAUCUGGAUGUAUUUGUCCCUAGGUUUUGUUAAAGGAGGGAAUCUUGAUGAAGCUCUCCAGGAAAGUGAUGCAGCCUCGAAUGUUCUUUUUAGUUAGUGACAAUGAUAUUCUUAUUAUAAAUUAAUACAUGUAAAUGUAAUCCUUCUGGUUUUGAUUUGAUCAUUAAAACUAUGCUAUGAUAUUAUUUGAUGAUAAUAUUUUAUUUGCCAGUGUGGUUUCUUUACAUCAGCAGAAGUCUUUUCAGAGCCAGAGAAAGUAGAUACACUUUGAUUAAUAAUUAUGAAACCAAAUAUAUUUAUAAAUAUUUUAUUGAGAAUAAUGUGCACUGACAAAUCUUGUACAAAUAAGACCAGAGACAUUUAUUAAGUAAAUAGGGUCAAUUUUGAUUUCAUGUUGACUUAAAGAACUACAUGUAGGUUGUUUUUAUGCAGGAAAAGAAACAGAAAAGCAACGACUGACCUAAAAUCACCUUCUCAGUGAUUAAGUAUCUUUUGUUUCUUUUAUUUUAUAUUUAGUAACAGUUUAAUGAUAGUCUUCUGUACUGUACGCCAGUAUCGUCAGGUCAUUUUAGACCAAACAAAGUGCACUCAUUGGCUGGGAUGAAGGUCAGUAAACACAGUCAAGAGGGCUAUCAAAAUUAGCUUAACAUUGAGAGUGUUGAACGGUCGUUCAUUCUGUCUGCCAGCUCAGCCACAUGUCGAGACGAGUGGCUUCAGGCCAUUUCUACUGCCAUUGAAGAUUACACCAAGAAAGAGACCACAUUCACCUCAAUUAGAAACCCAGAGAUGGUAAAAUGAUAGAUGCAUGGGACCUGUAACUCGGUUUAAAUCAUAACCAACUGCCCAAUAAUGUCUAGAGUGUUCUUUGUCAACUUCUGGCUCAGUGACACAUUUUUGCAGGCAACUAGAGAUGUCCCAGAUAGUGGGGCCCAGCUGGGAACCACAGCCCUGAUAUGAAUCUCAGACCUGAGAGCCACUAUGUAUAUGAUCUGCACCUGUUGUGUGUCAGGCCUGCUUAACUAACAAACAUCUGUUGAAAUACCUGACAAAUCAGCUUGCACGAGUGUGUGAUCUGUGCUUACCUAUUUUGCAGCAGAAUAGUUCAGGUUUACCACACAAACAUAUAUAGUAUAUACUGUACACCUACCUGUGUUAAGAAACAUGUUAAUCUAUCUUUUUGCUUUAUGUUUCUAAAUAUAUUUGUGGAUUUGUAUUAAUUCCAAAAUUAAUUCAUUUUUUAUAAGGAUUUGUAUUUUAUUUAUUUUUUUCAUUUUUUUGUGAUGUGUGUCUCUGUACUUAUAAUAGAUGAUCAGUCACCCAGCAGUACACCUCUAUCUCCUACUGGCAAAUCCCCUGGUGCAUAUCCCUUCAAAAAGCAGAAGAGAAUACCAGCUGCCCUUAAAGAGGUUUCAGCUAACACAGACAUGUCCUCGAUGAGUGGCUACUUAGAGAGGAGGAAAUGCAACAGGAAACAGGGGAAACGGUUCUGGUGUAUCAUCAUGAACAAAGUUCUGUACACUUAUGCUGCCAGCGAGGAUGUAGCAUCUUUGGAAAGUCAACCCCUUCUCGGAUUCUCUCCGAAAACAGAGAAGCCAGAAUCCUCACUGCAUUUUAAUCUUUACCACAAAAACACUCUUUACUACAUUUUAAGGGCAAAUGAUCCCCAGAUCUGUGAAAGGUUACUUUCUUUCUUGUAAAAAAAAAAAAAAAAAAACAACAACAACAACAAAAAAAGAAGAAAAAACAAUUAUUUCAAAAUUCAAAUAGAGGAAAUACUAUAGAAUAGACAUGUAACACUGAAACGUCAUAAUUUAAAUGUGUUCUUUUUCAUUUAAAAUUUUAUCAUUUCAUGUACAUUUUUCUUACAGAUGGAUCGAAGCAUUCGAGGAGGCCACAGUUCUCUGAUGUUGUGAUAUUUCUAUUACCAUCAGACCAGACUUCCAUGCAAAAGAUACAUACUCAC